GGUGAAAGUCUUAUGAAGAAGGGAAGGGCGUUCCACAGAAGAGGUGCAUGUGGCGAAACCGACCUCGCCACUGGGCAUUGGAGAAGACUGAUUGACAGCCUCCUGCCAUGUGACUAUGGCCCCUGGGAUGUAUUGCCCUUUAAAGACAUGAUUUGGGCAUAAGGGAUUUCUGUUGUGCUGCUGCCGGCCCUUUAAGAACCAUCUGGGGACAUACUGUGGAGUUACU